rfam:Operophtera brumata OBRT01_Sc00300, whole genome shotgun sequence.
CGUUCUAUGGCCGAAUUGGUAAAGGCAUCGACGAUCACAGGCAAGGUUGCGGGUUCGUGUCCCGCUGGAACGA